AUGCUUCUCUGUCAUGGCCCACAUAGCACCUGAGAUGGGUGUGUCCUGCCAAAAUGUCAAUCAACCUGCUGACUGCAAGACAUCAGGAAGCAAGACUCUGCCCUUGAAACCUUACCCCUGCCUUUGAUGUACCUCCUUAAAUAAACCACUGGAGCCAUCUUUCCUUUGUCUGGAUCCAGCACCCAUGUGGACAAAGAUAUAUCAGGGGCUCUGCUUUAUCAGGAAGAAGAAUCCCCCAAUGAGAUGCUGGCCCUUGCUCCCGUUGCUGGUGAACCCUGGUGGACGCAGCCUUGUUCUGUCCCAGCUAUCUCUGAAGAAUAGGAUCUUUCAUUGGAAAUUGUGUUUAUGAAACAACCACAGUAUGUUCUGGUGUAACCAGCUGAGUACAAUCCCAGAUCCUCUCUACAAAUACAGUUUGGAAUCCACAUCACAAGUCAUUCACUGUAAAACAGAUAACACUUUCCCAUAGAAACAAUAUACUGUUUGUGGCUUUCAUUCCUAACCAGAAUCUGCCUCAUAUGAAUUAUAGAUAUGAUCAACUAUGUCUUGA